CCUACGGGCGGCUGCAGUGGGGAAUAUUGGACAAUGGGCGAAAGCCUGAUCCAGCAUGCCGCGUGUGUGAAGAAGGCCUUCGGGUUGUAAAGCACUUUCAGUGGGGAAGAAAGCCUUGGGGCUAAUACCCUCGAGGAAGGACAUCACCCACAGAAGAAGCACCGGCUAACUCCGUGCCAGCAGCCGCGGUAAUACGGAGGGUGCGAGCGUUAAUCGGAAUUACUGGGCGUAAAGCGCGCGUAGGCGGUCUGAUAAGCCGGUUGUGAAAGCCCCGGGCUCAACCUGGGAACGGCAUCCGGAACUGUCAGGCUAGAGUGCAGGAGAGGAAGGUAGAAUUCCCGGUGUAGCGGUGAAAUGCGUAGAGAUCGGGAGGAAUACCAGUGGCGAAGGCGGCCUUCUGGACUGACACUGACGCUGAGGUGCGAAAGCGUGGGUAGCAAACAGGAUUAGAUACCCCAGUGUC
rnacentral:rRNA from 1 species